rnacentral:rRNA from 1 species
UACGAAGGGGGCUAGCGUUGUUCGGAAUCACUGGGCGUAAAGCGUACGUAGGCGGACCAUUAAGUCGGGGGUGAAAUCUCAGGGCUCAACCCUGAAACUGCAUUCGAUACUGCGUGGCUAGAGUGCUGGAGAGGAGACUGGAAUUUACGGUGUAGCAGUGAAAUGCGUAGAUAUCGUAAGGAAGACCAGUGGCGAAGGCGAGUCUCUGGACAGCAACUGACGCUGAGGCACGAAGGCCAGGGGAGCAAACGGG